AGAGGCUCUCCGCAGCUGGGGCGGGAUGCUUGCCUCAUUGCUGCGGCGAUGAAGCAAGCAUUUCGCCAGGCUGCUCACACUGCCCGC
rfam:Myotis brandtii contig203044, whole genome shotgun sequence.